UGCUGGUGGAGUGGCCUCCUCAAGGCUAGAGUAGUGAGUGGGUGGGAAGGAGAGUUCCCUGAAAACGCUGCAUACUUUGUGCUGCACACCUCUCCUUUCCUCUGUGAAAACAUUUCAGCACAUGAUCCGAAUUAGCUUGCAGGACUGGUUUGCCAGUCACUGAAAAAGAAGGUGGCAAUUUUCUUUCCCUAGGUAUGCGUUAAUCAGCUAUACCGUAUGUAUGUACAAUACAAAGUUUUCCAAAUUCUUGGUGGCAACACAAGGAUUACUGCUGUGCUGAACAAGAUGCAUUCUCCUUGUAGGUGGCGCAUCAAGGUCACCAAGAUCACUUCCGAAUGACCUGUUUAUUGAAAAAUUACCCUGGCUUGCUUGCACAAAGUUUGCAGGGGGAGGUUCAGGAGCUUUCACUUUGGCAAAGAAUAAAGAAAAACAGAGGGAACACGUCGUAUCAAAUCAACCAGAUGUUUUACCCAGCAAAACUUAAUGAUCCAUUAAAUUUCAGCUAGGAAUUGGGAGAGCUGUAAUAUUCAGUCAUUAAUAGGACUGUCCAUAAAUUAUAUUAAUUGCACUUUUAGAAACCUUUCAGAGUACCUUUUGCCCUUGCUGCCAUUUUUCAGUGUAGUACAGACCCAUCAAAAAGUAAGCCACAGGUAAUCACUACACCCCUAUCAGCAAAAUAUGUUAUGCCUGCCGUGAUGGAAUAUAUUAUCUAAAUUUUUGUGUGUCAAACAUAGAAAGUAAUGAAUAACACUUUUUAAUUUUCUAAACUACUCCUUCAAAGAGUAGGCCCAAACUAGCCACCAUGGGAGAGGUCUUCCCAGGGAUAUCUAAUGAAGGAAGAUGCAUAUUGGUGACUUCCUCAUGCCCAGCACAUCACCAGCACACUUCUGGGAGCAGAGGAAACACUGAGCAGUGCAACAUUAAACCGCAUUAUCAUCUUUCCUUAGGUGUUAUGAGGGAGAUGUGAGCGGCAGCCAUUUGCUAUCUCACAGUUCAGUUUCAGGCUAUGAAAGGUGUUGGGGGGGGACCAUUCUCACAUUCUACAGAGAACUAGCAGGCUGCAGCAGGAAGCUGAGGGAAGCCUGGGAAUAUAGCCCAAGGGGCACUGGAGCACCCGCUUUGAGUGCAUAAGAUAUCUGUUUCAAUUCCCAGCAUCCUCAGACAGGGCUGGAAAUGUCCCCUUUUGAAACCCUUGCUGCCAGUUCGUGCAGACAUCACUGAGCUUAAUGGACCAAUGGUCUGAGUCAUCAUAAAACAGCUUUUCGUGCUAGGCGUUCACACUGUUCACUGUUUCACUACUGAACAAAGUUUUAUUAUGCUGGAGAUGGGUUCCCCUGCCUGCCGCCUUUUCCUUGCACUUGAAUUCUGCUCAAAGAAAAUCCAGUAUUUGCAUUAAAAGCAAGCUGGCUGCAUGAAGUCAUGCUUUACCAAGGGCGUACCCAACACGGGGCAAGUUAGGGCAGCUGCCCUACUCU